rnacentral:rRNA from 1 species
GACGUAGGGCGCGAGCGUUGUCCGGAUUUAUUGGGCGUAAAGAGCUCGUAGGCGGCCUGUCGCGUCGAAUGUGAAAUCUCAGGGCUCAACUCUGACAUUGCAUUCGAUACGGGCAGGCUAGAGUUCGGUAGGGGAGACUGGAAUUCCUGGUGUAGCGGUGAAAUGCGCAGAUAUCAGGAGGAACACCGGUGGCGAAGGCGGCAUCCUGGACCAGGACUGACGCUGAGGAGCGAAAGCCAGGGGAGCAAACGGG